ACGGGUGUGUUUGCGUUGGGCGCUCGGG
rnacentral:piRNA from 1 species